rnacentral:rRNA from 1 species
GACGAACGCUGGCGGCGUGCCUAAUACAUGCAAGUUGAGCGAUGAAGAUUGGUGCUUGCCCCAAUUUGAAGAGCAGCGAACGGGUGAGUAACGCGUGGGGAAUCUGCCUUUGAGCGGGGGACAACAUUUGGAAACGAAUGCUAAUACCGCAUAACAACUUUAAACAUAAGUUUUAAGUUUGAAAGAUGCAAUUGCAUCACUCAAAGAUGAUCCCGCGUUGUAUUAGCUAGUUGGUGAGGUAAAGGCUCACCAAGGCGAUGUUACAUAGCCGACCUGAGAGGGUGAUCGGCCCCAUUGGGACUGGGACACGGCCCAAACUCCUACGGGAGGCAGCAGUAGGGAAUCUUCGGCAAUGGACGAAAGUCUGACCGGGCAACGCCGCGUGAGUGAAGAAGGUUUUCGGAUCGUAAAACUCUGUUGGUAGAGAAGAACGUUGGUGAGAGUGGAAAGCUCAUCAAGUGACGGUAACUACCCAGAAAGGGACGGCUAACUACGUG